rnacentral:rRNA from 1 species
GGGGAAUUGCUCGCAAUGGGCGCAAGCCUGACGACGCAACGCCGCGUGGAGGAUGAAGAUCUUCGGGUCGUAAACUCCUGUCGAGCGGGACGAAUGUCUCGCGGCUGAAUAAUCCGCGAGGGUGACGGUACCGCUAAAGGAAGCCCCGGCUAACUCCGUGCCAGCAGCCGCGGUAAUACGUAGGUGGCAAGCGUUGUCCGGAUUUACUGGGCGUAAAGGGCGUGCAGGCGGUUUGUUAAGUCUAGGGUGAAAGCUCCCGGCUCAACUGGGAGAGGUCCUUGGAUACUGGCGAACUUGAGGGAUGCAGAGGAAAGUGGAAUUCCCGGUGUAGUGGUGAUAUGCGUAGAUAUCGGGAGGAACACCAGUGGCGAAGGCGGCUUUCUGGGCAUUUCCUGACGCUGAGACGCGAAAGCGUGGGGAGCGAA